GCUGGGUGUGGUGGCAGGCACCUGUAAUCCCAGCUACUUGGGAGGCUGAGACAGGAGAAUCGUUUGAACCUGGGAGGCAGAGGUUGCAGUGAGCCGAGAUCACGCCACUGCACUCUAGCCCAGGCAACAGAGUGAGACUCUGUCUCAA
rnacentral:SRP_RNA from 1 species